rnacentral:rRNA from 1 species
CCAUCUUGAGUAUUAAAGGCGUAACAAGGUCUCCGUAGGUGAACCUGCGGAGGGAUCAUUAC